GAGUUUGAUCCUGGCUCAGGACGAACGCUGGCGGUGUGCUUAAUACAUGCAAGUCGGACGGCCCUUCGGGGCAGUGGCGGACGGGUGAGUAACACGUAGGUAACAUGCCCUAUACUGGGGGAUAACAUCGGGAAACCGGUGCUAAUACCGCAUAAGCCUUGGGUUGUAAGGCCCUUGGUUAAAGAUUUAUCGGUAUAGGAUUGGCCUGCGUCGGAUUAGCUAGUUGGUGGGGUAACAGCCUACCAAGGCUACGAUCCGUAGUUGGUCUGAGAGGAUGACCAGCCACAGUGGAACUGAGACACGGCCCAGACUCCUACGGGAGGCAGCAGUGGGGAAUAUUGCACAAUGGGCGGAAGCCUGAUGCAGCGACGCCGCGUGAGGGAUGACGGCCUUCGGGUUGUAAACCUCUUUCAGCAGGGACGAAGGGUGACUGACGGUACCUGCAGAAGAAGCGCCGGCCAACUACGUGCCAGCAGCCGCGGUAAG
rnacentral:rRNA from 1 species